rnacentral:rRNA from 1 species
AAAACGACUCUCGGCAACGGAUAUCUCGGCUCUCGCAUCGAUGAAGAACGUAGCGAAAUGCGAUACUUGGUGUGAAUUGCAGAAUCCCGUGAACCAUCGAGUCUUUGAACGCAAGUUGCGCCCGAAGCCAUCAGGCCGAGGGCACGCCUGCCUGGGCGUCGCA